rnacentral:tRNA from 1 species
GGCCCUAUCGUCUAACGGUUCAGGACAUGUCCCUCUCACGGACAAAAUCAGGGUUCGAUUCCCUGUAGGGUCA